rnacentral:rRNA from 1 species
AACGAACGCUGGCGGCAGGCUUAACACAUGCAAGUCGAGCGCCCCGCAAGGGGAGCGGCAGACGGGUGAGUAGCGCGUGGGAACGUACCUUUUGGUUCGGAACAACUCCGGGAAACUGGAGCUAAUACCGGAUAAGCCCUAACGGGGAAAGAUUUAUCGCCGAAAGAUCGGCCCGCGUCUGAUUAGCUAGUUGGUGAGGUAACGGCUCGCCAAGGCGACGAUCAGUAGCUGGUCUGAGAGGAUGAUCAGCCACACUGGGACUGAGACACGGCCCAGACUCCUACGGGAGGCAGCAGUGGGGGAUAUUGGACAAUGGGCGCAAGCCUGAUCCAGCCAUGCCGCGUGAGUGAUGAAGGCCUUAGGGUUGUAAAGCUCUUUUGUCCGGGAAGAUAAUGACUGUACCGGAAGAAUAAGCCCCGGCUAACUUCGUG